GCCCCACUGUGGGCUGAGGGGCUGUGAGCACCAUGGCCUGGACCCCUCUGCUCCUUGUGCUCCUCUCUCACUGCACAGGUUCAUUGUCCCAGCCUGUGCUGACUCAGCCGCCCUCCCUCUCUGCAUCUCUUGGAGCCACAGCCAGACUCACCUGCACCCUCAGCAGUGGCUUCAGUGUUGGUGGCUACUACAUAGACUGGUUCCAGCAGAAGCCAGGCAGCCCUCCCCGGUAUCUGCUGCGGUAUAAAUCAGACUCAGAGAAGCACCAGGGCUCUGGUGUCCCCAGCCGCUUCUCUGGAUCCAAAGACGCCUCAGCCAAUGCAGGGCUCCUGACCAUCUCAGGGCUGCAGCCUGAGGACGAGGCCGACUAUUACUGUGCUACAUAUUAUAGCAGUGGAGGCAGCUACAGUGACUCACAGUGGUUCAGAUGAAGAGGAAGUGAGACAGAAACCCCUGGGCCCAGAGGUCGUGGCUCUGAGCCUCACUGAAGCUUCUGUGGAGGCCCCUGUAAGGUGGGCUCCUCUGCAUCAGCAUGUCCAUGGAAGGGAAG